GACGAACGCUGGCGGCGUGCCUAACACAUGCAAGUCGAACGGAGUUUAAUUAGAUUGAGGCUUCGGCCAAUUUCUUAUUAAACUUAGUGGCGGACGGGUGAGUAACGCGUGAGUAACCUGCCGUUCAGAGGGGGACAACAGUUGGAAACGACUGCUAAUACCGCAUAACGUAUAGUUUUGGCAUCAUUACUAUACCAAAGGAGUAAUCCGCUGAAUGAUGGACUCGCGUCUGAUUAGAUAGUUGGUGAGGUAACGGCUCACCAAGUCGACGAUCAGUAGCCGGACUGAGAGGUUGAACGGCCACAUUGGGACUGAGACACGGCCCAG
rnacentral:rRNA from 1 species